GCUGCUGGCGGCGCGGGUGCUGGCCGCCUUUGGCGCGGCGGUCGGUUCGGUCGGGACGCAAACGGCGAUUCGCGAUCGCUUCGACGGUU
rnacentral:tRNA from 1 species